CAGUAGCCGCGGGAAUACGGAGGGUGCAAGCGUUAAUCGGAAUUACUGGGCGUAAAGCGUGCGUAGGCGGUUCGUUAAGUCUGUUGUGAAAGCCCCGGGCUCAACCUGGGAAUGGCAAUGGAUACUGGCGAGCUAGAGUGUGUCAGAGGAUGGUGGAAUUCCCGGUGUAGCGGUGAAAUGCGUAGAGAUCGGGAGGAACAUCAGUGGCGAAGGCGGCCAUCUGGGACAACACUGACGCUGAGGCACGAAAGCGUGGGGAGCAAACAGGAUUAGAUACCCGUGUAGUCCCUGUCUCUUAUAC
rnacentral:rRNA from 1 species